rnacentral:lncRNA from 1 species
AUGUCUCCACGAAAACGCCAACAAAGAAUAAAAAAUCUUGCUGCCUCUCCUUCGAGGUCUGGGCGGCCACUCACUUCAAGAGGGAUGACUGAUAUGACACGAUCCAUUAGUGCCUCAUCAGUCCAAAGGACAUUACAGGAAAACUCCGACCUACAUGCAAAAAUUAAACAAAUUGAAGAAGAGAAGCUUCAACUGGAGGAGAAGUGCAGACAAUUGGAAGCACGAAAUCAAGAGCUGGAAAAACAACAGCAACACCAGCCUUACACAAAAAUUAUUAGUGAGGCCUGGGAAGGAAAGUUUGGUAAAGCACAACAGAAGAUUUUGUUCCUGAUGAAGGAAAACAAGACAAAGAGUGCUGAAUUAAAAGAAACGUCUGCCCAGCUUCAACGCGCGAAUGCUACUAUUGGGGAGAUGCAAAGGGAUCUCCAAAACAUGGAGCAAAAGAAUCAGGCGCUCCAAGGAACACUUGAUGAAGCUAUGGAACAAACUGCACAAAUCCUCGGACAGAUAAAGGAAGAGGACACACAAAUGCAGGACCAACUCAAAGGCAUAAAGAAAAAGUACGAAGUGCUGAAAGUCAGGCUGGAUGAAACAGAGUGCAAAAAUAAAGAGCUUCUUCAAGAGAAAGAGCAACAGGAAGAAGAAAAACGUAUUCUUCAGGACUUGGAGAGAAGAAAUCUACAACUGAACGAAUUUUGUAAUACAAUGAAGGACAGAACACCUGAACUGGAAGGAGAAGUAUUGGAAAAACUACGUUCAAAGAUGCAGCGUAGGAUCAAUGAAAUGGCGAAAAAACACUCAGAGGUCAUUAAUGAGAUGUUGUUGAACUCCGACAACUUGAAGCGCGAAAACGCUGAAAUGCUUGCGCAAAAGCAGCAACAAGAGAAAAUAAAUGAAGACCUGCAGCGUAAGCUUCAAGAAAUCACAAGAAGAAAUGAGCAGUUAGAAAAUAUCCACAAGGAAAAACAACAGCAAAAUACAGACAAGCGCAAUCUAUUAAAAGAAAUGGAGCAAAGAUGCCAGAAACUUGAGAAGGAAGUUGAAGAAACAACCGAUCAGUUGAGAACCCUCAUCCUGGAGAAAAAAGUGCUCGUGGAAAAGCUCAUGGAAAAGAAGAAAAAACGUUUCUGCUUCUUCUGGAGGAGGGACACUCCUGCUUUUUCUACUUCUUCUAUUUUUCUACUGCUGAUGUCACCUCGUCUCCCUCCACCUCUGUUCCGUCUUAAUUUUCACCUCUCCUCUCCCCUUCUCCCUUUCUCUCCUAACACUUCUUCCCUCUCUCCUUCAUCUUUUUCUUUUUCACCCUAA